rnacentral:rRNA from 1 species
AGCGAACGCUGGCGGCAGGCCUAACACAUGCAAGUCGAACGGACCCUUCGGGGUUAGUGGCGGACGGGUGAGUAACACGUGGGAACGUGCCUUUUGGUUCGGAACAACUCAGGGAAACUUGAGCUAAUACCGAAUGUGCCCUUCGGGGGAAAGAUUUAUCGCCAUUAGAGCGGCCCGCGUCUGAUUAGCUUGUUGGUGAGGUAAUGGCUCACCAAGGCGACGAUCAGUAGCUGGUCUGAGAGGAUGAUCAGCCACAUUGGGACUGAGACACGGCCCAAACUCCUACGGGAGGCAGCAGUGGGGAAUCUUGCGCAAUGGGCGAAAGCCUGACGCAGCCAUGCCGCGUGAAUGAUGAAGGUCUUAGGAUUGUAAAAUUCUUUCACCGGGGACGAUAAUGACGGUACCCGGAGAAGAAGCCCCGGCUAACUUCGUGCCAGCCGCCGCGGUAAUAC